AAUUGUUCGCAAUGGGCGCAAGCCUGACGACGCAACGCCGCGUGGAGGAUGAAGAUUUUCGGAUCGUAAACUCCUGUCGAAUGGGACGAAUAGAUUGCGGGUUAACAGCCCGUAGUCCUGACGGUACCGUUAAAGGAAACCCCGGCUAACUUCGUGCCAGCAGCCGCGGUAAGACGAAGGGGGCUAGCGUUGUUCGGAAUUACUGGGCGUAAAGCGAGUGUAGGUGGUUGUCGUAGUCAGGCGUGAAAGCCUUGAGCUCAACUCAAGAAAUGCGCUUGAUACUGGGCAGCUAGAGGACCGAGGAGGAUAGUGGAAUUCCCAGUGUAGUGGUGAAAUACGUAGAGAUUGGGAAGAACACCAGUGGCGAAGGCGGCUAUCUGGACGGUUUCUGACACUAAGAUUCGAAAGCGUGGGGAGCAAAC
rnacentral:rRNA from 1 species